AAUAGCCUAACGGCUGAACCAGCAACUUGAAAGAAUGUAUAGCGAAAGCUAGUUGUGCUAUAUGCAAUAUUGACUAUGUCAAAUAAAGUUCUAGGUAGAAUUAUGAUGAUGACAUUAUUUACCUAUGUGUCUUGACCAAAUUACGUGCCAGCAGUCGCGGUAAUACGUAGAAGACUAGUGUUAUUCAUCUUUAAUAGGUUUAAAGGGUACCUAGACGGCCAAUCAAGCCACGGGGACUAAUGGGCUAGAGUUAAAUAUAAGGAGGCAUAAAAGUACUGAAAAUGUAGAGAGAUGAAAUUCUGUGAUACUAUAUAUGGCACUGGUAAAGGCGAAAGCUUCUUCUUAUGUAAUAAUUUGUACUAUAAAUGAAAGUGUAAGCAUUCCACCUUAAGAGUAAUUUGGCAACAUUGGAACUGAAAUCAUUAGACCGUUUCUGAAACAAAUAGUGAAGUAUGUUGUUUAAUUUGAUGAUCCGCAAAAAACCUUACCAUGAAUAUAUACAGGCGCUGCACGGUUGUCUUCAGUUAAUGUCGUGAGAUUAUGGUUAGUUCCAUUAAUUAACGUAAACCCUUACUUCAUUUUUAUAUGGAGUAGUUCACCGCUAUAUUGGUUUGUGAUAACAGGGACUAAGACAAGUCAUCAUGGCCCUAAUGAAAUAUGCCUUAACAAAAGGAUGCAAAAUUGUGAAAUUGAGCUA
rnacentral:rRNA from 1 species